UUUUCACGUUCAAAUCUCUCUCUCUCUCUCUCUCUCUCUCUCUCUCCCCAUCUCCAUCUUCGCGCUACUCAUCUCACUCUCAUUCCGACUCUGCUACUCAUCUCACUCUCAUCCCAACUCCUCCACCGGCAAGAGCUCGAAUCUGCAGAGCAUCAAUGUCGAAGCACACUAUAAUAUAAGGAACCAGGGAUUCUAGAGAGCUCGAAUUUGCUGAGCAAGUUGUUGCCCUCGUAAACCCUAACAUUGGUCGACGACCCUAUGUGAUCUCCAAAUUCGCUCUUAAUUUCCAAAUUCGACUCCCUCAAAUGUGUCUUGCCUAAAUGAGGAUGGUCCAGAAGCUUGGCAUAUCCAGUUUUUUCGUUCAAUUGAUUCCAAUUCUGUGAAGGGGUUUCCAAAAGUCCCAAAAGAUGCCACAAGCAGGGACCUGGUAUGUGGGAAGAAUGUACUGAUAGACAUGAGUAUACAUACUGCAUAUGUAAAGGCAAUCUGUGCUGCCCAACAUUUCAUUUACAUUGAGAACCAGUACUUCAUUGGGUCAUCAUACAAUUGGACUAACCACAGAGACUUGGGUGAGGAAUUGACAUUCAGGAUAAACUGAAAGGGAAAAAAUAAGGAUAUGUUGUUACUAUCACAUAUUAAAAGUAGUAAUGUGAAAAUUAUAUAUAGGUAUCCGAGUAUACAGUAACUCAUAUAUUAUCAUUUGUUGUGGAAAUUAUGCACUAUCAGC